AAGAAUGUCUGGCCCUUGCAGAGGAUGUAAAUUACAUGGGUUUUAAAUACCUACCAAUUCAAAAAAUUGGCCAGGCUUGCCUGGAGGAGGACCAACAUCUUGAGGCCAUCGUCAAGGCCCAACACUGCAGGCAGACACUAACAAGGAUAAAGACCGCGAUGGAGGCCAACUGGUCCUAUUACAACCUCGCUACGCAUGGCCUUGGGCCAGAAAUGUUGAAGGGUGCGUUUUCUUUAAUUGAUGCGUGCCUGGUCGAGGCAGAGAACCUCCACUGCCUCCAGAAGUAAAUAAAGCAUGUCAAUUUUAAAGUGGUAUCAGCAUUUAUGGGUAGCCUUGACAAAGGAAUAGUCUUUAUGGUUUACUGAGUAAACCACUUUGGACAAUAUAGAUGUGAUUUAACCCUUGUUUUGACUUCGGGUGAAAUUGACCCGUUUUCAAUUUUUGUUUUAUAUCAGAAAAUAUGGGACGUAGAAAUAAGCACUGAAAAUGUGUAAAAGAAAUAAUUUAAAACGUUGGAAAAAGCAAAAACAAACUGUGAAAAAAUGGCGUCAAACGUUGAAGAAAGUGUUUUUUUUUUUAUCUCAAGGUUGACGAGAAGACAACAAAAGGGUGAAAACAUAAUUUGCCAAAUACAUGUUAAGUUAAACCAUAAGAAUGUAUGGAAAGUCUUGGUUUUGGACUGAGAAUGUAUCAAAGUUAUAAAGCAAUUUUCUUUAUUUGUAAUUGUGAGUACAUUUUUCUUGGGGAUCAAUACUUUUACUGAAUUACGGGACCUGUGUACUUCACCACUCUGCUGGUAUAAUUUACAUUUCAUAUUGGUAAAACACUACUAUUGCUUCUGCCAUUAAUGUAAGUCUAUAUAUUUCCCAAAACUUCAUAAAACUUUGAUUUAAUUAUCAGUAUUUUAUUUACCUGAUCAACUACCAAGAAAAUUCAUCAACCAAACAAGACAGGCGCUUUCACAUGCAAACAAUGGCACCUCCAGAAUAACAGAAUUAAGUUCUUCUUGCUCUUCUUUUGUUUUUAAAGUUCUCAACUACUGCUCUCUGCAGUCUAGCUUUUUUAAUUUUUUUACGGUAACCAUGUAAAGGGGUAAUUUUCCUUUUUCUGGACACAACAGUGAAUUUUCCAAAAGCCAGCUUGUGUGCUCUUUGGAUGGUAUUGUACAGUUCAGGGGUAUGUUCAAAUGCUUCGGAGUUGCUCCACUGUAGUAGGUCUGAUAACAUGGACUGUAUGGGAGGAUUCCCAUGGGAGGCUUCAGACACUUGUGCAUUUUCUUUGGGGUCUGUGAGAAUGUCUUGAGGCUUGAGGACAUGUGUGACAUGUAUGCAAACACAUCUUUCUCCAAAACUAUUAGCAAUGCAUGUGCACAAAGUCGGAGUUUUCCUAUUCACAAUACUCAUAGUCCCAUCACUAUUGAAGAUGGUUAUUUCAUCUUCAGUCUGCUGAUAGAGACGGAGGCUGAUGAUUUCUAGCGCUUUAUUAUUCCGCAUUUUUUCAAUGUCAAUACCUCUCCUGCCUACCUCCAUCUUCACCAAGAGAAGAUGUUUGCAUAUGUUUCCCAUCCGGAAAUUGGUGCAUUCACACGUGAAGUGUAACAAGUUAACUUUGUAGGCUGUGUUGGUUGACUGUGACGGCACAAAGCACUGCCUCGCUUCUAUGUCCAAAUCUUUUCCCACACCAUUUUUAAAUAGCAGCGCAGCAGCCUGGUGAGCAGCAGAGCUGGAUAAUGUCAGUCAUCCUGCUUCGCUGAGGCCAUCCAUGUAGCUGCAGUAAUGAAAAACAAGACACAAAUUUGGAAUUACAGUAAAAUAGUAGCCUUUGCCUCAGAUAGGACAGUGGGGAGUGACAGGACACCAGUGUGUGAGAGUGUGCCCUAGCUAGCUGCAACACAGGUAAGGGCACCAUCACAAACUUUUUAAUGGCACACAUUUUGCAUAUUCUGAUUGGAUGGCCAAUAACUUAUGCAAUACCAUAAACUCAUAACCAUACUGUAUAUUGGCCCUUAUUGUUGGAUAGAUUUUAGCUAAAUGCAAGUUUUAUUGUGUAGUCAUUGCCAUGGUGAUUGUUUUUUUAGUGCAACAGCUCAAUAAAAAAAUUAAUUCACUGUUAAGACUGUGAGAG
ensembl:lncRNA